ACUCCUACGGGAGGCAGCAGUGGGGAAUAUUGCGCAAUGGGCGGAAGCCUGACGCAGCGACGCCGCGUGGGGGAUGACGGCCUUCGGGUUGUAAACCUCUUUCGGCCUUGACGAAGCUCUUCGGGGUGACGGUAGGGGUAGAAGAAGCACCGGCCAACUACGUGCCAGCAGCCGCGGUAAUACGUAGGGUGCGAGCGUUGUCCGGAAUUAUUGGGCGUAAAGAGCUCGUAGGCGGUCUGUCGCGUCGGUCGUGAAAACUUGGGGCUUAACCCUGAGCUUGCGGUCGAUACGGGCAUGACUGGAGUUCGGCAGGGGAGACUGGAAUUCCUGGUGUAGCGGUGAAAUGCGCAGAUAUCAGGAGGAACACCGGUGGCGAAGGCGGGUCUCUGGGCCGAUACUGACGCUGAGGAGCGAAAGCGUGGGGAGCGAACAGGAUUAGAUACCCUGGUAGUCCACGCCGUAAACGGUGGGCGCUAGGUGUGGGGGCCAUUCCACGGUCUCUGUGCCGCAGCUAACGCAUUAA
rnacentral:rRNA from 1 species